UAUAUAUAUAUAUAUAUAUAUAUACAGUAUAUACAUAUAUAUAUGUGUGUAUAUAUAUACAUACACAUGUGUGUAUGUUUAAGAUUUUUAAUAAUACUGUAUUUGUUAUUGUGAUUGUACUUUCAACUAAUUGUAUGUAAUUUGGAAAUAUGAGGCAAAAUGUUCGCAACUGUUCUGACUCGGCAAACAACAAUUAUAAACAUGAAUGUUAAUUAUUACAGAUCUAACGGUAUUGUAGGUUUUGCGGUUCUAACGUCUUCUAAUGCCAUGACGUGUGACGAUAUCACACCAAAACUCCAUUAUUUUUUUUAUUUUUUUCUGGCACCUUUGGUUUGGCUGGUCUUGGAAAAAAACUACAUUUUGUUUUGCGAGAGUCACAACUCACAUUAUCAGCAACAUUAUCUUUUGUGCGAAGAUUACUUUUUUAAAUCAACUGUUCAAGAAGAACAAGUAAGUCCAUCCUUUAUGUCACCCGGCUUUUUUUUAGACUACACCACAACAUGGGGACCAUAAAUAACUCUGACAAACAUCACCACCAUCUACAGAAAUUAUAUUUGAAGACCGUGAGCAAUCUACAGUAUUAUAAAUGCAUAUAUACUUUUAUGCAUAUACAUGUGUGUAUAUAUAUAUAUAUAUAUAUAUAUAUAUAUAUAUAUAUAUAUAUAUAUAUAUAUAUAUAUAUACAUUAUUAUAAGUAGAAUUUUGUGAGACACUGCAUUUUCCAAGCUGAUAUAUAAAAAAAACAUGUCCACGUUCUCAGAAAGUUGAAGUUGAAAUUCACUAAAGUGAACAUUAUUGUUUGACAUUUGUUGCACUGGAUGUUUAAAUUAUUGUUUUGAAGACACGUAAAUGUAAGGUUUUUUAAAUUUUUAUAUUUACUCAUAACAUCGGAUGUUCCUGCACUUAAAAAUACAUAGAUAGAUAGAUGGUACUUUAUUGAUUCCUUUUUGUAGUGUGAAAGAGGACUAGAACAUUUCAUUAAGCAUUUAAUUACAGUAAGUCUGUUUAUACUAAACCAGUGGUUCUUAACCUGGGUUCAAUCGAACUCUUGGGGUUCGGCGGAGGUCAAGACACGCCCGACUCAUCGUGUAAAUAAAAACUUCUCCCUUUCGGCGUAGUACGGAUACGGCAACAGCAGAAGUAAUUGUGAGUUUAUGCACAGUGUUGGUUUUGUUCUUUGAAGAAGGUGAUGUUCAUGCACGCUUCAUUUUGUGCACCAGUAAAAAAACAUGGUUACACUUUAGUAUGGGGAACAUAUUCACCAUUAAUUCUCAUAGUCGUCAUUGUCACCGACGUCCCACUGGGUGUGAAUUGUUCCUUGCCCUUAUGUGGGCCUACCGAGGAUGUCGUAGUGGUUUGUGCAGUCCUUUGAGACACUAGUGAUUUAGGGCUAUAUAAGUAAACAUUGAUUGAUUGAUUGAUUGAAGCCAUGAAGGUGAGAAAGACACAUUUAGUUGGAGAUGUUUCCCAUCACAAGUCCACCUGUCACCAUUAUUGAUCCAUGUCACCAUGACAACGCUUGACGUCUGCAUGCAAAGUAGUCAUGAAGGUUUCCUCUUCAUGCUUUGUCACUCCACUUGUGCUUUUUUGCUCUCCACAGACAACUUGAGCGUCGCCCUCGCUGCCACGGCGGCGGUCCUCGCUGUGGCGGCCAUCAUCAUCAUCAUCAUCAUCAUGGUCAUGGUCAGGCGUCACAGAAACAGACAAGGUGAGGGACGCCAAUGUCCUCUGUCUUCUUCUUCUCGGUGCACUCGGUCCAGGCCGUGAGUUGAUGCUUUCAUCCGGGCUGCAAAGGUGCGGCCAUCUUUUAGUUGCCUUCCAGCCAAACACUCAAAGAUCCACAGAGACAGAGCGCACACUCUCACGUAGAAACACGGCGUGACGUGAGGGGAAAAGUCCACUUCACCUUGUUUCUCUUUCAUUUCAGCCCAGUACGAUCCAGCUGGUAAGUAAAACAUCUUUUCUUUGAGCCGCAAGAAACAAAGCCGUGGUGAAGCGUCACUCACAUGGAGGUCUGAUGUGGACCUUUGUUACAAGUUUAGCCGGAAAAGCCCAACUGGAGCUGACUCCUUCACAAUAAAAGUCCCUCCUGUGAGCACACGCAAUACAAAGUCUGGCAUAUCUCACUUUUGACAGGAGUCCUCAUGAUGAGGAUCAGCCAAAUGAGACAUCAAGUGUGCUGACUCGUCAUGUUUCCAAGUCACACCUCAAAGAUCUGAUGUGAGUGACGAGGCACCUUCUGGAUGUUCUUCCUUCACCGUUUGCGUUUGUCCCGCAGCUCGCCACGGCGGCGUGGAGCUCGACGAGAACGUGCAGGCGGCUGAAGGCUGAGAUGCUUUGUGCACUGGAACACAGGGAGAUGUCUCCAUCGCUGAGGGACGUCAUCACACUCGGAGAUGAGAUGGAGAUGUGCUUUGUUCUUCGUCCGACUGCUCCUCACGCUAUUCCAUGUAUUCUUCUUUGGCCGUUAAAAGACUUUCAAGAUCAAACGUUGGUGGCUGUAAAAUCGCACGUUUCAUGGCCUUGACGUCAUGACGAGGAUUUCUUCUUUUCUUUCAAUGGCCGCUGCUUAUGAUCAAUAUCACAUUGUGUCACAUCUCUGUCAAUAAAUCCGUUUUUCCCCCA